AUGACCAUUCAGCUCAGCAUAGUCGAGGGAUGUGACGUUGAUUAUGAUGGUGAGGAAGUUUUCUGGGCUCUUCCCACUAGCUUCGGUCUGGAAGCAACACGAACCAUUGACACUUCUGAUGAUGUCUCCAAUGAAGUGAUGCAAACAAGAACUCAACAUUGCUGCAGAGAAGAGGAAAAUGAGGACAUGAUGAAGACUGCCGCCUCUCUAGCGGACAGGCAGUGGUGUGAUCUCCAUAUCGACUUGUUGCAGCUACUAGUACCCAAGAUUUCAUUCAUUGAUUUCCUACACCUAAAAGCUGUCUGUAAGCAGUGGAACUCAAUUAAGAGUCCGAUCCAACAAGCAAAAGUGUCGCCAUUGCUCAUGACAACUCGGCCAACAGGAAGGACUAAGGAGGAUCUUGUCGAGGUCUUCGAUCCGGUGAGCGAGAAGAAGUAUAGCAUCAGGAUAAACAUCCCUGCUCCAGUUCUCAAAUCUGAGGGAUCACAGUUACUGCAUUUCACAAAGAAUGGCUGGGUCAUCGUGUCGAGAGGCAGCGACCGCAUGUUCUUCCUUGUGAAUCCGUUCAAGAAUUACCCUGAUGGCGGCCAUGUGAUUGCUCUUCCACCUUUGGAUGUCCUUGGCCUCAAAGGUUUGUCAUUCUCUUCCAUGCCGGGUUCACCGGACUUCGUGGUCCUCGCUGUAGGAACUACCCCAGACGGUGAAGUUGUCAUGAUACGAACAUGGCGAAUGGGAGACAAGGAUUGGAGGAAACAAUGCUUAGGUGACGACGAUGUGACCUUCCUCAUGGCAUCUCAUAGCCCCGUCUUCCUAGAUGGAGUGUUCUAUUUCCUGGACAUCAAUGGCAAACUAGCCGUCGUGGACCCGGACCUAGAUGAGAUGGAGUGGAAUGUCCUCGAAAAGCCAGAUCAACCAAUACGCGGAAGCGAUGAGGUGCAUCUUUAUGAAUGGGACUACAGCUAUUUGGUGGAGUGGAAGCAAGAGUUGAUUGCCAUCGUCAGAGAGAACGGAGAUGGCUUCAGAACAUUCAAGCUUGAUCGGUCUCACAUGGUUUGGUCCGAGUUCCAAGGCAUGGAGGAUGCGGCCGUGUUUUGGGAUAGGAGCAAUGCUCUGAUUACUGUGCCGCCUGCUGGAGAAGAUUUAUGCAACAAGAUGUUCCUCCCGAGCUAUAGUGAGAUCACCGAUGGUGGCAGGAACCAAACGUUCUACUCAUUCCGGGAGCAAUGCUACUACCCUUCCUUCUAUGCCAAGGAGCCCAUGAACGCCAUAUGGUUCCAGCCAGACUUAGACGUACUUACGUUGACUAGCCAGUAG
rnacentral:rRNA from 1 species